rnacentral:misc_RNA from 1 species
CCAAACUGAAUCGUGUUUAAAAGAUUGUUAAUUUUGUAUAAUUACUGACCAUGAUACCCAUGAGAUUAUCCACUAUUUAAAAUUUUAGUCCCAGCAUUUGUCUUGGCAUAACGCAAGGUUUAAUUGCAUUGUUGCAAAAUGAUGACAGACCCAAGGGCAUGAAAGUACUCUAACUAUGCAGUAUGCACCCUGCAAAUCUAAUCUUGUACACUGCCCCUUGCAAAAAACAACGGACGACACUCGCAUACCUCGCACGCAGGCUCAAACUCCCCUAAGUUCGCUUUUCUCUCCGCAAUGUUACCCCCACCACCACCACCGAAGCCACCAUUUUUCUUCUCUCUCUCCCUCCUCUUCUUCCUCCUCCUUCUCCUUUCCACCUCCGCUGAAGCCGCCAACAAAACCACAACCACCACUGUUGUCUCACCCACUCUCUCCCCUAUCUCCUCUCCCACUCCGCGUUCCACCGCUCCCUCUCCUAUCUCCUCUCCCACUCCAAGUUCCACCACUCCUUCUCCUAGCUCCGCCCCCACCACUCCCUCUCCUUCUACCCACUCCACCUUAGACCCUAAACAACUCAGAGCCCUCCAAUCUCUAGACAUCCCCACUUCCAAGGACCCUUGCAUACAGCCCUCUCCUCACAACUCCACCAUCUGUGAUUCUGCCUCUCCCUUCCGCCACCUCAUCUCUCUCCACCUCUCCAACUGCUACUCUGACGUUUCUUUCUCCUACACUGCCUUAAAAUCCCUUUCCACUCUGCAAUCUCUCACUUUCACCAACUGUCCCAUCACACCCAUUCGCUUCCCUUCAGAUCUUGUCCUCUCUCUUCACUCCUUCACUUGCAUUCACUCUCUUAAACGCCUCACUGGUGUCUGGCUUUCUCACUUUGUCAAUCUCACCGAUCUCACUGUAAGUAAUGUACCUGUCAAUACUAGUGGUCUUUAUGUGAUUCUUGGUAAUAUGCGCAAGCUUAAGUAUCUUACUAUCUCCAAUGCUAAUGUCACUGGCUCCAUACCAAAACAUCUGCAUUUCAAUCUUACCCAUGUGGAUUUGUCGGGUAAUAAGCUCAAAGGAAGAAUACCCAGUUCUAUUUCAAUUCUGGAAAAACUUGAAAUGCUUAAUCUUUCCUCCAAUGCUCUUACUGGUGAAAUACCCACUAAUUUCGGUGACUUGAUUUCAUUGAAGAAUGUUUCUUUGGGGUCUAAUUCGUUAUCUGGGUCGAUCCCAGAUUCUAUGUCAGCAAUUCCAGGUUUAGUACAUGUUGAUCUGAGUUCAAACCAGUUAAAUGGGACAAUACCAAGAUUUUUUUCAGAAAUGAAGCAUUUGAGGUACUUGAAUCUUGCAAACAAUGAGUUCCAUGGUGUUUUGCCUUUCAACGUUACCUUUUUGAAGAGGUUGGAUGUGUUCAAGGUUGGUGGGAAUAGCAAUUUGUGUUAUAACCAUACAAUUUUGUCAUCAAAAUUGAAGCUUGGGAUUGCUCCUUGCGAUAAACAUGGACUGCCAAUGUCACCGCCACCAGCUAAAGAUUCAUCAGGAGGUGAAAGUGAAAGUGAUUCAUCAGAUUAUGACGAUAGUUCAGAGGAUGAUUCUAGCAACAAGGGAGGGAAGCAUCAUGGGCCUAAUAAGGUUGUUCUUGGUGUGGCAAUUGGGCUAUCUUCAAUAGUCUUCCUCAUCGUUUUCCUUAUUCUUCUCUCAAAAAGGUGUGGUUGAUUGGAAUGUAAAAUUUCUUCUUCAAGAGAUUAGAGAAAAUUUGCUAAUUAGAAAUCAUUUUUAUUGUUUAAUUUAUUAUACAAUUGAUUAUGGAGAAGAGCGGCUGUAGAGCAGAAGUGUACCAAAAAAGGGGGAAAAAAAAGGAGAGGGAGGAAUCAUUGUUUUGGUGUGUUAUCUUUUGCAGCUUUAUUUUUUUUUUCUUCUGCUUUAGUAAUUUGGAUGAAGAGAACAGCAGUGGUUGCUUCUUGCUAUUAUUUUCUUUCGUGAAUUUGACCACCUCGUGGUGGAUAAUUGAAUGUUACAUAGGGAAAGCAGGUUGAUAUUUUUGUUGUAUCACGAGUUAUGUACUUUUGUUGAGCUAAAAACAUUAGUUGAUCUCAUUUUUAUAAAUUCCAGCCUAUGUUUGCUCCUGAAAAAA